rnacentral:SRP_RNA from 1 species
UCGGCCAGUCUUCAGCAAACUGGUGUAAGUCCCUGCUUUGGGCCGGUAUUUGGAUGAUGAAUUGCUCGAGGCUGGGAUAACGUGUACCGCGGCGACUCAGGUAUAUCGCCCAUUGGAAGCUCGGUGUUGACAUUCUGUCCUGGACGUAGGUCUGAGGCAGGAGGCCAUUAAAUAACUGACUAUCGUAGGCCAGCAAUGGAUCAACGAGAAUGUUGGUAGCACUGGGCAGUCUGGUGGAUUACGAGAAUUAGUGGGGGUUGCGAUACAUGCCAGCUUUGGGUGGAGACUCCCAUCCGUUU